rnacentral:rRNA from 1 species
UUCCAGACUCCUACGGGAGGCAGCAGUGGGGAAUAUUGCACAAUGGGGGAAACCCUGAUGCAGCGACGCCGCGUGAGCGAUGAAGUAUUUCGGUAUGUAAAGCUCUAUCAGCAGGGAAGAAGAUGACGGUACCUGACUAAGAAGCCCCGGCUAACUACGUGCCAGCAGCCGCGGUAAUACGUAGGGGGCAAGCGUUAUCCGGAUUUACUGGGUGUAAAGGGAGCGUAGACGGCGGCGCAAGCCAGAUGUGAAAGCCCGGGGCUCAACUCCGGGACUGCAUCUGGAACUGUGUGGCUGGAGUGUCGGAGAGGCAGGCGGAAUUCCUAGUGUAGCGGUGAAAUGCGUAGAUAUUAGGAGGAACACCAGUGGCGAAGGCGGCCUGCUGGACGAUGACUGACGUUGAGGCUCGAAAGCGUGGGGAGCAACCAGGAUUAGAUACCCUUGUACC